rnacentral:rRNA from 1 species
CCUACGGGGUGCAGCAGUCGGGAAUAUUGCACAAUGGAGGAAACUCUGACGCAGUCACGCCGCGUGCAGGAAGAAGGUUUUCGGGUUGUAAACUGCUUUAGACAGGGAGGAAGAAAGACAGUACCUGUACAAUAAGCUCCGGCUAACUACGUGCCAGAAGCCGCGGUAAUACGCAGGGAAGCAGCGUUAUCCGGAUUUAGUGGGUGUAAAGGGUGCGUAGACGGAGAAGUAAGUUAGUUGUGAAAUCCCUCGGCUUAACUGAGGAACUGCAACUACAACUACUUCCCUUGAGUACUGUAGAGGAAAGUGGAAUUCCUGGUGUAGCGGUGAAAUGCGUAGAGAUUAGGAGGAACACCAGUGGCGAAGGCGACUUUCUGGACAGUAACUGACGUUGAGGCACGAAAGUGUGGGGAGCAAACAGGAUUAGAUACCCUUGUAGUC